AAUUCGCCCUUCCGAAUUCGUCGACUUCCGGUUGAUCCUGCGCGGCGGCCACCGCAUAUUGGAUUUCGAUUAAGACAUGCGAGUCGAGAGUCCCUUCGGGGGCUCAGGCGUAUUGCUCAGUAACACGUCGGUACAAUCUGCCCUGGGGAGGGGGAUAACCUCGGGAAACUGAGGAUAAUACCUCAUAGUCCCUGCAGGCUGGAAUGCGGCGGGGAUCAAAUGCUCCGGUGCCCCAGGAUGAGUCUGCGGCCUAUCAGGUUGUAGUGGGUGUAAUGGACCCACUAGCCUUCGACGGGUAUGGGCUUUGAGAGAAGUUGCCCAGAGAUGGACUCUGAGACAUGAGUCCAGGCCCUACGGGGCGCAGCAGUUACGAAAACUUGUCAAUGUGGGAAACCACGAACAGGGGAAUCCAAGUGCCUGCCCAUUGGGUUGGCUGUUCGAUCGCCUUAAAAGCGUUCGCAGGAAGGGCUGGGUAAGACGGGUGCCAGCCGCCGCGGUAAUACCCGCAGCCCUAGUGGUGGUCUUUGUUAUUGAGCCUAAAGCGUCCGUAGCCGGACUGUUAAAUCCUUGGGUAAAUCGGGGGGCUUAACCCACCGAAUUCCGGGGACACUGGCAGUCUAGGGACCGGGAGAGGUAGAAGGUACUUGCGGGGUAGGGGUAAAAUCCUGUAAUCCUGUAAGGACCACCGGUGGCGAAGGCGUUCUACCAGAACGGAUCCGACGGUAAGGGACGAAGCCCUGGGGCGCGAACCGGAUUAGAUACCCGGGUAGUCCAGGGUGUAAACGCUGCAGACUUGGUGUCGGGUGUCCUGUGAGGGCAUCCGGUGCCGGAGCGAAGGUGUUAAGUCUGCCGCUUGGGGCAGUACGGUCGCAAGACUGAAACUUACAAGGAAUUGGCGGGAGAGCACAGCAACGGUGAGGACGCGUGCGGUU
rnacentral:rRNA from 1 species